CCGCCUUCUCAGGUCAGGACUUAUGGUGGGGUUUCUCCCCGCAUUUGGCGCCCGAACAGGGACCUGAGUGGCGGAUAGGGACAGGAGCGGCGCCGGGAGCAGCGACCGGCAGGCAAGAGCAAUCGAACACUGUGCUGCGGUGUAUUGUCUCCGACGCCUGAACCGAUUGAAGUUCGCCGUUGCUGGGCUACAGGAGGGCUGCAAGGAGGUCUUUAAAGCGCAGGAGGAGGAUCAAGAUGGGUGCCAGCAAAAUGGGUUCGCCCAGUGUUGAAGGACUAAUGCUAUUUCUGGGAUUUAUUAUUGUUGGAGUCUUGGCGAAUCCACAUCUGCUUAUGAAGAAUGAGAACAUUUGGGUAACAUGGGCUAAUUUGACUGGUAAUUCGAACUUUUGUUUAAGCCUUGCUUCUGCACAAGAGCCAUUCAAGACUUGCCUCAUUGGUUACCCUUUAUCUGUUAAUGAUUCCGUGGAAGCCUUGACGGAUUGGAUUAACAGCACGAGUUGGGGCGCUUGCAAUUGCAAUUGCACGAAGGAAUUGGAAGAUAAACGUAGCAAAGGAGAAUGCCUGCCACAUUUACCCUUUUACCAGGAAUCAUGUCGCUUAGCUUGCUUAAUUGCUGCUUUAAAUGUGUCUAUUUAUGAUGAGCCAUAAGAAUUAGAUUUGCUGAUGUCAGUAGGUCCUGCAGAUAUUUGGAAUGUUACGUAUCGAACAAAUUGUUCCAACACGAGGCCAGCAUAUCAAGCGGAUAAUGGAACUGGAGCUGUGAGUUUUGGGGGUUAUGAGUAUUAUCAUAAUGUGUCAUGGACACAGCCCGGAUGGUCCACUUACACCAAUGUGUCAUCACGCAACAAUUGGUGGAAUUUGACAUGGAAAAGUGGAGGCGUUGAGGGCCUCAACGUUACUGGUGCUAAGGAUUUGGCGCCUGGAUUAUUUUUGAUAUGUGGGGAUAGAGCAUGGUCAAGCAUUCCAUGGAGGCCAGUUGGGGGGCCUUGUUACUUGGGGCGUUUAACUAUUUUUGCACCUAGUAAAGCUCAGAUGAUAUCAAAAUUUAAUCGAACACGAAUUAAAAGACAGAUCUUAGAGGCAAGCUGUGAUGAUACAGUGCAGUUACCUAGCACUACGGAAGCUAUCUUCACAUCGUUUUUUGUCCCAGGAGCAAUGGCUGCUUGGAAUGCGAAUAAUCUCAAGAAGUUAGCAUGUUGGGCAGGAAAGCAGGCAAAUAUGACAUCAAGCAUAUUAUCACAAAUGGCUGAUGAUUUAGCAGGAAUAAGGCACGCUGUGUUACAGAAUCGAGCUGCAAUUGACUUUCUGCUUUUAGCUCAAGGACAUGGGUGUGAGGAGUUUGAUGGUAUGUGUUGCUUUAAUAUAUCUGAUCAUAGUAAGUCUAUUCAGUCACAGUUAAAGCAAUUACAGGAUCGUGUGAAAAAAUUGCAGGUGGAUGAUGAUCCUUUUGGCAAGUGGUGGGCUUCGCUGGGAUUUCCAAAUUGGCUGCUAGCCUUUUUAAAGCCAAUAUUGGUUGGUUUUAUCUUUAUUAUUCUUAUUUUAGGUAUUGGGAUUUGCUGUUUAUCUUGCAUUCGCAAUAUGUGUAUCAAAUUUAUUGAAUCUGCUUUUCGCAAAGAGGUAUUAUUGGCCCAAAAAGAAAAAGGGGGAAUUGUUGGGGAAUGGCUACGGGAAAAGGGGCAUGGUUCCAGUGAUCCUCUGUAUCAGGAAAGUUUGUUCUAGUUAGCAUAAGUAGGCCCCAGUAGGCCUCAGUGAGCAAGAGUCAGAGGCGGCUGGUGACCGGAGGAAACCUCGGUCACUUACGGGCAAAGAUGAGUUUCGGUAAACAACUUUCAGGAACCAGCUCCGGGAAAAGAAGGAACUUGCAUACCAGAGAAACCGCAAAGAGGGUUGGGCUAAUUAUGUAUUCUCUCCAAUCAUUGAAUGACUAGUAGGCAUAAUUAUCUAAAGGGCUAUAUGAGUGUGUGCAACUUAUCAAUAAAUCGAAGUAUGCUUUAUCACUCA